AAGUCGUAACAAGGUUUCCGUAGGUGAACCUGCGGAAGGAUCAUUACAGAAUAAACUUGGUGGGUUGUUGCUGGCUCUCAAUUGAGCAUGUGCACGCCUGUCAUCUUUAUCUUUCCACCAUGUGCACUCUCUGUAGGUCUGGAAUAGACAAUACGCCUAGUCACUUGUUGACUACUGGAAAGUUGCUGAUUCUUCAGCUCUUUCUGUAUCUGGCUGUCUAUUCCUAGGCUCUACGAUAUCUCUAUAUACACCAUGUAUGUCAAAGAACGCAAUCAAUGGGCCCAUAAAGCCUAUAAACCUAUAAUACAACUUUCAGCAACGGAUCUCUUGGCUCUC
rnacentral:misc_RNA from 1 species